CGCGCGAGUUCUUUCGUGCCAAUCGAGGGUCCAGAGAGAACAACAAGGUGAUUCAUCGGUAAUCUAAACAGUAAGUUUGGCAAGUGUGCAAAACAGAACCUAACCGACGACACACCCAGGGCUGCUACGAUUUGCUUCACGAUGUCAAUUGAGCCUGCGCACGGCACCACUGUCCUAAAAAUGUAAUGGCAAAAAGAAGCAAGAAAACUUCCUGCACGCUGCGCGGUCAGUUUAGGUAAUUCGAAAUUACCUAUAAAAGUGUUCCGCCGCAGUAUCGGUGGUAUCAUUCGAAAGUUGCAUAGUUCCUGGACCGAACAGAGGCAAUCAGAACUUUCAUCGUUUAACAGUGAAUUUGUUGGAAAUUUUGAAUAUAAUCAAGAUGACGUGCAAGUGCUGUGGUAAAGCUUGUAAGUGCACAACCUGCUGCGGAACUGUGGACAAACCCUGUGUUACGGGAUGCCAGUGCCAGUGUGCGUGCAAGACGGGUAAGGGCUGCGAUCAACCCAAAGGAUGCUGCUAGGAGGCACAACCCCACAACCCAACAAACAAUUUGGUUCAGUACACCUAUUUAAACCGUUAAUCAGCCGAUAUUCAUUCAACAAUAGCUCAACAGGCUGCAAAUCAACAAAAAUGUUUGAUAGGAAGGCAAUUGAGACAGUUCCAGUAUAUUGUUCAAAAUUGUCUUGUGAAACAUGUAAAAUAAAUCUUGUUCUAUUAAGUAACAGUUAAAA